rnacentral:rRNA from 1 species
GAUGAACGCUGGCGGCGUGCCUAAUACAUGCAAGUCGAACGGUUGGUCGCAAGACCGAUAGUGGCGAACGGGUGAGUAACGCGUUGGUGACCUGCCCUAAAGCGAGGGAUAACAGUCCGAAAGGGCUGCUAAUACCGCAUAAUCUGGUGGAUGACUAGAAAGCUACCAGGAAAGUCGAAAGACGCUAAAGGAGGGGCCUGCGUCCCAUCAGCUAGUUGGUAAGGUAACGGCUUACCAAGGCGAUGACGGGUAGGGGACCUGAGAGGGUGGCCCCCACAAUAGGAACGUAGAACAACGGUCCGACUACACCUACCGGGUGGGCUG